CAAUGUGUCUCCCUAUGUCUCCCUGUGUCCCCUAGUGUCUCAGUGACCCCAUGUCUCCCUGCUGCCUUUCCCCCCAUCCCUCACUUACCUGAGGUGUAGUCUGUCUCUGCAGGCUGGAAGCUGCUGUCUUGACCCUCUGUGCUGUGUAGCUGCUCCCCCGCAGAUCAGUGAGUAGAGAGAGGCAGGUAGAUGCUGUACCUUCCUAUCCCU